rnacentral:rRNA from 1 species
AUGCGAGUUGAGAGUCUUCGGGACUCGACGAACUGCUCAGUAAUAUGUAGUUAACCUACCCUAAAGUCAGGGAUAAUCUCGGGAAACUGAGGCCAAUACCUGAUAGGCAUUCUGGUCUGGAAUGAUAGAAUGUCUAAAGAUCCGUCGCUUUAGGAUGGGACUAUAGCUUAUCAGUCUGUUGGGGGUGUAAUGUACUCCCAAAACGAUAACGGGUACGGGCCAUGAGAGUGGAAGCCCGGAGAUGGAUUCUGAGACAUGAAUCCAGGUCCUACGGGACGCAGCAGGCGCGAAACCUUCACUAUGCAUUCACGUGCGAUGAGGGGAUCUGAAGUGCUUACGCUUUGCAUAAGCUUUUAUUAAGUUCAAACAGCUUGGUGAAUAAGGGGUGGGCAAGACAGGUGCCAGCCGCCGCGGUAAUACCUGCGCCCCAAGUGGUAUCCCGUAUUAGUUGGUCUAAAGCGUCCGUAGCCGGUUUAAUAAGUUCCUGAUGAAAUUCAUUAGAAAACUGAUGAGCCUGUCGGGAAUACUAUUAGACUUGGGAUCGGGAGAGGAUAGAGGUACUGCUGGGGAAGGGGUAAAAUCCUAUAAUCCCAGUGGGACCACCUGUGGCGAAGGCGUCUAUCUAGAACGAGUCCGACGGUGAGGGACGAAACCUAGGGUAGCGAUCGGGAUUAGAUACCCCGGUAGUCCUAGGUGUAAACGAUGCCCACUUGGUGUUACAAACCUUAUGAGGGUUUGUAGUGCUGGAGCGUAGGUGUUAAGUGGGCCACCUGGGGAGUACGACCGCAAGGUUGAAACUUAA